GAUGUACUCCCUCCGUCCCAAAAUUCUUGUCUUAAAUUUGUCUAGAUACGGAUGUAUCAAAUACUAAAACGUGACUUGAUACAUCCGUAUCUAGACAAAUCUAAGACAAGAAUUUUGGGACGGAGGGAGUACUAG
rnacentral:pre_miRNA from 1 species